GGGGCAGAUAGGGGUGGGUGUCCAAACACUGAUACUGCCACCUGUGGGCUACUUAACACUUUAUUAUGUGUACAUAUUAAGUUUAAUAAUUGAAAAAAAAAAAUUAUGAAAAAGUUGCAUCAAUUGAGAAAUGUGGCAACAUGAACAUGCUUAUACUUCAAUAUAUAUUAGUGAUGAUAUCUGUAUCAUCGCUAAUUAUAAUACUGCACAUUUGUAUUGGACAAUAUGGAUGUUUAAGUAAUAUGUAUAUACACUGCUUCUGUCAAUGUAUGAAGUCUUAAAAGUUUGUUAUAUUGCCGUACAUACAAUCAUGGUUAUUUGCACUGUAAUGAUUUUCCAACGGUUUGGGUUAUAUAUAGAACAACCACUUAUAGAGCCAAAUAUUUGCGAAAAAUAUUCAUAACUUAUAAUGUAUCUGUACAGUAACGGAAGUUAAAUCCAAAGUUGUUUUAAUUCUUUUAUGGCAAACAGAUAAAAAUUCAAAUCAGAGAAGACAUUUAGGUGAUUGAUUAUAUAUUUAAAUUGUUAGUGAUGUGCGUGUAUCAUUUAUAUAUGCAUAUAAAAUUGAUUUUUUUUGUUGUUGUUUUUGUUAAUGUUGCAAAAAAAUUGCCAUAUAUUUGAGAUAAGUUCUAUGAGGUGCACAGUAUAUUUAAUGAUUGUUUAACUUAUGCUAUUGAGACAGUUAUGAAAUACUAGAAAGUUCAAGAAAGCAUCAUUCCAUUCUUUAGUAGUUGUAAUAAUCUUUCAGUGUCUGAUUAAUUUUGCAGUUGAAGAAAAGUGUAAUAAUCUUUUAGUUUAUUAUUCAUUUUGCUGUUGAAGAAAAGUGUAAUAAUCUUUUAGUUUAUUAUUCAUUUUGCAGUUGAAGAAAAGUCUAAUAAUCUUUUAGUUUAUUAUUCAUUUGCAGUUGAAGAAAGGUGUAAUAAUCUUUUAGUUUAUUAUUCAUUUUGCAGUAGAGGAAAGGUGUAAUAAUCUUUUAGUUUAUAGUUCAGAAAGGUUUGAUAAUCUUUUAGUCUGUGAUUCAUUUUGCAAUUGAUUUCUUUUGAGAAAAAAAAUUGUUUUUAGACCUGCAAAAUGAACAUAUAAGAUCUCUUUUGCUUACAAUUGUGUUAUCUGGCAUACAUUUCAACCUAGAACAGAUAAAGCACUCAUAUACGAGGGGUUAUCCAAAAAUUUGUGGACUUUUUUUUGUUGCAAAAAAUUUAUUUGAGAUAUUAAUUUAAAAAUCCUUACAAUGCUUAGAAGAAUUAAUAACAAAUAAACACAGAAAAAUUCAUAUUAGUAGCUUCUUAUAUUGCAACAAUAUAUAAUUUUACAUAAACACAUGUCAACCACAGCGGUGCACUCUAAAAAGUCAUUUCCCGUUGUAAACAAUAUCAGCGUUUUGCGUUUGUGGCGAUAUAAACAAAAAUAAACGGAAAUGAUUUAUUAUAUUUAAGAAUUACUUACAUGACAUCAUAGAAGAAACAUGUGAUGUUUAGCAGGUUUUCUACGUUAAAUUUUUAGUUUUUUUGCAAGAAAUAUAAUAUGACUUACUGCGCUUUUCUACCGGGUGGCGUGUAUGUGCUUAUUUAAAAGCAAUAUAAAAUCAUUAUUUAUUGACACAGUUAACUGUUCCUUUCAAAAUGUAUUGAUAAUAUUCUACAAUGUAUUCUAAUAAAAUUUCAUUACAAUACACGUUGGCGUUCAAGAGAUAUUUAAAAAGUCCACAAAUUUGGAUAACCCCUCGUAUGACCCAGUUAAGACUUCUGUUACAUUAAAAACUGUGUGUGUAUUUUGGAGUUAAAGCAGUUUUCAAGUAUGUCACAUUUGUUAAGCAAUUUGUUAAGUUAAGUCGCCUAAUUUAUCCCACUUUGUAAAAAGUGUUCAGUUAUGAUGAUCAUUUAUUUUGAGUCAGAAACAGCAUAGAUUUCUGGAACAACUGUUGAUUGGUUUAUUGACUUAAGUCUGAUUAUCAAUCUUGCAGUAUGACUUAAAUGUCAUUAUAAUAUCAGUUUCAGCUGAAAUAUUAACUUUCUUUAUAGAACAGAACAAAACAGAUAAUUAAUAAUUUAUAAUUAAGUGAUAUUUCUUUGCAUUAUCAUUAGUUUGUUUUGUUUUUCUUAACAAUUAUAACAUCAACAUGUGAGCUGGGCAAAAUAGCUAAAGCUCUCAGAGCCAUUAUUCAUAUUGCCUUUAAUUUCCACCCUACUGUGUAUUAAAAUUAGUAUAGAAAUAUUGUGUAGAAAUAUUGAACAUUUAAGUGCUUUCUUGAUA